rnacentral:lncRNA from 1 species
AAGGAAAGGAAGAAAGGCAACGAACAAGAAGGAGGGCUUCCAACUGCAGCUUCCUGCCGGCUGCAGGCCUCCCUUCCUAAGCUGAGCUGAGGCUUCCUCUCCAUGGGCUGGGGAGGGGGCGCCAGGAGGCCUCGGCGGGUCCGCAAUUGGCCGGGACAGCUUCUCACGAAAGGUCCUGGGCCGGCAUCAUCAGCCUCACCUGGGAACUGGUUAGAACUACAAAUUCCCUCGGCCCCACCCAGACCGACGCCAAGGGCAGCUGUGGAGUGGGGCGCGGCAAUGCGCCCCUUAACAGCCCUCCAGGCUUCUUAGCCCGGGCUUGGACAGCCGCCUUCCGGCCAGAGGGGAUGAGGUUGCGCUGCGCUCCGGGAGCGCCGAUGGCGUGACUGGCCCCGCGCGGAGCAGCGACAGUAAGGCUGUGUGGGGGGAGCUGGGACCUAAGCCGCGCGCACACCCCUUUCUCUGCGUCUGGUGGAGGUGCACAGAGGCUUUUGAGUCAGGCCCAAGCGCAGCCAGGUGACCUCCCCGCGGCCUUUCAAGCCUGAGCUCGGUGGACAGCUCCCUCUCCCGUGAGUCCCGCUGUCCUGUACGCGCCCGGUCGAGCCCCGGGCUGCGCACCCCGCUAGGAGCUGCCCGGCCAGCCCGCUUCUCUGCCCGGAGCCAUGAAUCUCAGUAGCGCCAGUAGCACGGAGGAAAAGGCAGUGACGACCGUGCUCUGGGGCUGCGAGCUCAGUCAGGAGAGGCGGACUUGGACCUUCAGACCCCAGCUGGAGGGGAAGCAGAGCUGCAGGCUGUUGCUUCAUACGAUUUGCUUGGGGGAGAAAGCCAAAGAGGAGAUGCAUCGCGUGGAGAUCCUGCCCCCAGCAAACCAGGAGGACAAGAAGAUGCAGCCGGUCACCAUUGCCUCACUCCAGGCCUCAGUCCUCCCCAUGGUCUCCAUGGUAGGAGUGCAGCUUUCUCCCCCAGUUACUUUCCAGCUCCGGGCUGGCUCAGGACCCGUGUUCCUCAGUGGCCAGGAACGUUAUGAAGCAUCAGACCUAACCUGGGAGGAGGAGGAGGAAGAAGAAGGGGAGGAGGAGGAAGAGGAAGAGGAAGAUGAUGAGGAUGAGGAUGCAGAUAUAUCUCUGGAGGAGCAAAGCCCUGUCAAACAAGUCAAAAGGCUGGUGCCCCAGAAGCAGGCGAGCGUGGCUAAG